rnacentral:rRNA from 1 species
GUCUACUGCCAUGCCACCCUGAACAAGCCUGAUGUCUGAUCUUGGAAGCUAAGCGAGUCAGGCUUGGUUAGUACUUGGAUGGGAGACCACCCAGGAAGACCAGGUGCUGUAGGCG